rnacentral:rRNA from 1 species
UACGUAGGUGGCAAGCGUUGUCCGGAUUUACUGGGCGUAAAGAGCGCGCAGGCGGUCGUUCAAGUCGAGUGUGAAAGCCCCCGGCUCAACUGGGGAGGUCACUCGAUACUGAUCGACUCGAAGGCAGAAGAGGGAAGCGGAAUUCCUGGUGUAGCGGUGAAAUGCGCAGAUAUCAGGAAGAACACCUAUGGCGAAGGCAGCUCUCUGGGACGGUACUGACG